AACAACAAUAACAACAACAAUAAUAAUAAUAAUAAUAGAGAGGGAAGGAAGGCGGGGCAUGAUGCCAUUUAAAUCUCUGAGCAUCUUAUAGCAUUGUUUACAUCCCAGCUUUUCACUGACAUUUCCUUUACCCCCACCCAUACGUCAUGGCCCUGGCUCUGUCCUGCAUUUUCUCUUUCCGGUCCCUCUGUCCCCAGCCCCAUGUGCCAGAUUGCUGCAGUGUGGCAGGGAGGGCUGCUGGCAUCCCAGCCAUUUCCUGCCCCCAGGCCACCCACCCUUCUCGGAUCUAGCGCAGCCUUGCCCUCCAUAUGUAUGACCUCACCUCUAUGGCAGCCGGGAAGCCGGGCUCCUGUUUCCUGCCUGUUUACCCUGGCUCAGCGACAGGUAGAUCAUGUGGCACUGCUGGGAUGCCAGCCGCGCCUGAUCUUUUGGCCAGAAGGAGAUGAAAAAGAUGCCCCUCAAGAUGGCUGCGCCUGUCAGCUGCAUGGAGCUUCGGUCAAGUAUUAUUUUCUGAGCCUGAUGGAUUUACAGUGAAUAUUCAGUCGUCUAGGGAAUAACCCUGGUGGAACCAUGCACUGGAAUGACACACGCCCGGCACAUUUCAGGAUACUUAAAGUGGUUUUAGGGGUAGCCCUGGCUGAGUGCCUCAUGGAUUCUUAGAGCUUGGAUGUCCAUGGGGGACGAGGGAUUGCAGCUGGCUGCGAGGACUAAGAGCUCUGUUUACUUGGGUCUCUGCCAACUUCCUUUGGGUCUCUCUGUGGAACGUAAGACCCCGACUCUCCUGGUGGAGCGUCUCACGCACGUUCUGUCCAGUGCUCAGCUGGGCUUGAGGGUCUCCGAGCGGCAGGUGUGUGGGUCUCGUUUGAUGGUGCGGCCAUCAUGUGGGAGAAAGAUGCUCACAGGGGGUUUUGUUGAGCGUCUCCUUUGAGCAGUCCUUUCCCUGGUGAGCUGACCACACUCCCUGGGCCUUCUCCCAAGGGCCCGGGCGUCCUUGGCAUAUGCAGUCAUCGUGAUGGCACUUUAAGUGGAGGCUGAAUCAUCUCUCCUUUGAGCUGCACAGCACAUAGCUCCCUGGUGUUCCCAAUUUACCUCCGGGACACUGAGAUUUGGAGAGUCUGUAGGUGUGAAGACUUCCAUUUGGGAUGCCAAGCCCCCAUGUCCAUAGUGUGAGAGUCCAGAGGAUGAGACCUCAGAUCACGAAUCCAAUAACCCUCGCCUUUAACUGCCUGUGUGGGAGAUUCAGGGCCAGCAGCUGCCCUUUCCCUGCCUCUGACCUGGCGGCUGAGUUUAGGUCAACAGAAAUUUUGAGAAACACAUUGAAGGAUCUGUUGACACUUGGUAAACCCAGUAAAAGCAGUGGUUGUGUCAGUCCUAAUCUGUCUUGCUGUGAAUGUGAACAACCGGAACCCAAGCUAAGCAGUUAAUGCUAGCGUGACAGAAACUGGAGCUCUCCCAAGACACGUGACACAGUAACGCAGCAGCCAACUUCUUCACCAAAUUAAAGUUUUGCAAGAUUUAACCUGUCAUCAAGACCUGGGAUUAUGAUGUGAGGACAAUCAUGUGAUGAUGACGAUGAUGAUGACAAGGACAGUGAUGGCAGUGGUGACGGAGGAAGACCUGCCUUCAUUUUGUGUAGUGAUCUCCUUCUUGCUGGCAUUUCAAAUUCAUUUUCAUUGUUGAUUCUGAGAGCAAGCCUUGGAGGGAGAGUAAUUCUGAAAUCCGAGGAAACUGGGCCUUAAGGGGCUGCUGAAGACCCAUGUAGUCAUGCGGUGGAGUCUGUGAGGCCCAGAGCUGAGGGGGAGGUCAUGGGCCUAGAAGUUGUCGCAGCCCGCACUGCUGUGCCUGCAGCUCUGCAUCCUGACUGUGUCAGCAGGCCCAGAGCUGCUGGAACCUGUGGGGCUACAGUGAGAAGGGUGGGAGGUUGCCUUACUCCUGUUGCCUUCAUGAACAUGGGUUGUUCCCUCAGGACAGGAAAUUGAGGCUGUUCCCCUGACCGCUCCAGACAGCUCAGUGAUGACCUCACCCUGUCAUGAAGAUGGUGGAUCACAGCUACCAUUCGCUGUAUCCUUCUGGCUGCUGUGUUGAAAGUGGGCUGGAAGUGGCAAAGGUGGAAAGACAGGCUGAUCAGGAGGCUAUUGCGGAAAACCAGCGUAUGGCAGUAAUCCUGGCCUGGGGCAUGCAGAGGAGAUGGGAAGACCUGAUCAGAUUCAGAAUGUAUCUCAAAGGUUAAAAAACCAAGUCACGUGGAAGAUAAAUAACAUGCUCAACAUCGCCCAGCCAGAAGUGGCGGAGACGUGACUAAACUCACAGGGGACAACUCCCGAGUCUGUGCUAGGAACAGCCAGUGAAGAUCCUCACAGAAAGAGGAAGAAGUAGAUGAAUUCAUGACAAAUUAAGAAGUAGAAUGGUGGCCGAUUGUCUUUGGGAGAAAGUGGGAUCAGGACGACUCCGGGAUUCUGCGAGAUGGGACACGCUAGAGUAUUACUUGGGAAUGUAAAAAAAAAUAUCAAAUUACUGAAUGAGUUCCAUGUGCUACUGUCUUCAUACUUGAGUUCUAAUUCUGUUAAGGUUGUGUCAUUGUCUUCUUUUUAAAAAGUGUGGAAACGGAGGCUCACAGAGAUGGUACUGUUUUCUCCAAGUCGCAAUGAUGGUAAAUACAGAUGACAGCUGGAUAUCAACUGGCUCUGGGAAGCUUCCAAAUACAGUGACUCAACGCUGCUCCACACAGCCUUCUUACAAGGAAAAAUGAGAACGGAGGCCACGGGCCGGCUUCUGUGAAUUGUGUGUUGUUGGAAUUCCUGUCCUUCCUUGACCCAGAUUUGUAAACAGAGGCUUUGGAAGCCAAAGUACACACGGGCAGAUGCAAAGGAGCCGUCUGAUGAGGAGAAAGUCGAAUGUGCUUGGGGUGGGUGCACGCCUGCCUGAAGCACGUGUCCCCGAGGCCUCCUGCUGUCUCCGCAGCUGGCUGUCUUGGGCCUGGUGGUCUGCAGAUGGCCACGAAGUGUCUCUGGGCUGUCCAGCUGCAGCCUGAGCGGGCUGGCGGUUUUGGAGGGGCUGAUGCUGAGGGCGCUGGGCAGCCGCUGAUAGAGCUUCCUUUUGCUACUUUUAGGCUUGUUGCUGAGCCUUUUUAAAGGGAAGGGGGGAACAUAAGCAAAGAUAUUUGCUGUAUCUUGGAACUGGAAUGCCCCACUACAAAACCAGCUAUCAUUUACUCACUCAUCCAAGAAAUACAGGUUGAGCCCCUGUGGAACAGCAGGCCCCAUCAGGAUGCAGCAGGGAUGAACACGAGUACCUGUCUUCAGGGAACUUGCAGUUUAUUGGAUGGAGACAGGCAACCUAUAAAGAUUUGAUUAAAUGUCUAAUAUGUGCUAUAGGAAGAGAAGAAGCAAAGUAAAGGAGUCAAGAAUGAAAAGACCAGGGGACACUUCUCUGACGAAGUCACAUUUGAGCACAGACCCAAACAAAGCAAAGCAGUGGGCCCAGCAGAUCUCCGAGGCUGGGAUGGUCUCUGGCAAAGGGAACAGCAAAUUCAAAAGCCCUGAGCAAGGCAGGCCUCCAGGGAUGUAUGCCUUCUUCAGAUGGGUAAAGAGCACCGUGCUUGGGGAGGGUCUGGAAGCCGCGGCCUGGGAACAAGUGAGAGAACUGAGGUGUUUAGGGUAGAAAAGGGAAGACAUGCAAAUAGCAGGCAGCUUCCCUCACAUAAAGGGUUCAAAGUCUGAUCCGAAGGAUAAGACUUUCUAUUACGUAAUGGCGGAAGUUGGAACCAAAGACCAGACCAGCGGAUGGAAGUUGCUGGAGGCUGUUUUCAAAGGUUUGUUGAGUAAUGCCCAAAGCAUCAGCUCUAAAAAUAAGGGACGUCAUAUUAGUAUGCUAAGGCCGACAUAAUAAAAUAUCAUAGACUGGAGGGCUUACACAACAGAAAUGUAUUUUCUCACAGUUCUGGAAGCUGGAAGUGUUAGACAAAGGUCUUGGAAGGGUUGGUUUCUUCUGAGGCCUCUUUCCUUGGCUUACAGGUGACCAUCUUCUCUGUAUGCCUUCACAUGGUCCUUUGUCUCUGCAUAUCCAUAUCCUAAUCUCCUCUUUUUAUAAGGACACCAGUCAUAUUGGAUAGAGCCCGCUCACCUGACCUCAUUUUUACGUAGUUACCGCUUUAAAGGCCUUAUCUCCAAAUACAGUCAUAUUCUGAAGUAGCGGCGGUUAGGGCUUCAACCUCUUAAUUGUAAAAAGGGGACACAAUUUAGCUCAUAAUAACCUUUCCUUCACAAUUUAAAUUUACUGAAGAAGCUGAAUUGUUUGUUCUGAAAUGAGUGAUUCAUUCUAUCUGGAUUUCUUAGAUUGCCUCUCUGUGGUUCACUGUUUUUCUGGUAAAUGGUACUUAGAUCCUUGAUUGAACUUAAGUUUGAUUUUCAGGCAAGAAGACUACAUCAGGUGGUGGUGUAUACUUCCAUCAAGAGGUAAAUGAUAUCUUCUUGUCUCUCUGUAAUGUACAAAACAACCUUCAACCACACAAGUGAGGAUUCUGAAGUACCUAGAAUAUCUGGAUGACUGCGGCUUGAGUGGAUGUCCUUGAGACACCUGAAGACCCUGAUGUGCCUCGAAACCAUGAUUCAACUAGAUCCAUUACUUAAUAACAGCUAUUUUAGAAGGUACUUAUUUUGUAGAUGUCAUUACAUUAGUGUAUGGGACUGGAGUCCGGAAUAGAAGAGGGACAGACAUAAACAGGCAUCUGGGUGGAAGGGAAUUGUUCCGAGAGCUGGGUUUGGAUCCUGGUCCUGACCAGGAUACUAGAAUGUGAUUCUAGCCAAGCGGCCUAAAACUUUGAGUCCACGUUCCUUAUUGGUGAAAUGCGUAUUACAUUCUCUCUUCAAAAUUUGCUUCAGGUGUCACCUCCCCCAGGUGACCUCCCCUACCCUUCUCCCAGCCUUGCCUGACAGCUCAUCCCCGGGGCAUCCUCUCACCGAAUGCUCACCUCCAGCAUACACAUAGCUUACCUUUUGCUAUUUACCUGUGUGUCUGCUCCUCAGACUAGGAUUCCUUCAGGUUCAGGACUGUGUCCUCAAAGCUGUUUUCAGGACAGUUGCUUGUUCGUGGUGCUCAACCAAUACUUCAGUGACUAAAAGGGCUGCUCCUGAGUAGUGUUCUAAAUCCCAGCUGCAAACUAGAAAUCCCAAGAAGCUAUUUAGCAAUUACUGAUAUACCUCAGGGCUCAACGCGAGAGCUCUCCAGGUGAUUCUAAUAUACAGCCAGCGUUGAGAACCAUUGUUCUAGGGGAGUAGUUCUUAAAGUGUGGUCCUCAGACCAGCGCAUGGGCAUCUACAUGGGAAUUUAUUAGAAGUGCAAUUCUUGAGUCUCACUCCAGACCUACUGAAUCAGAAUCCUGGGUCUAGGGCUCAGCUCCACCUUUGUAAUAAGUCCUCCAGGUGAUUCUGAUGCAAGGUAAUGUUUGAGAAACCCUUUUCUAGGGAAGUAACCAGCAGUUCUUUUUUUUUUUUUUUUUUUUUUUUUUCUGUAAAGGGCCAGACAGUAAAUAUUUAUGCUUUGUAAAUCAUGCAGUCUUUGUGACAACCUCUUAAGUCUGCUGUUACAACAAGAAAGCAGUCAUAGAUGAUAUAUCUUUGACUGCCAGAAAGAUGUAUAAGCAUCUUGAGCUCUACUGCAACCAGGAGUAAAACCCAAAGAGUUGCUGGCUGUUGGCUGGAAAUCAAACAAAGAAUUAAUUGGAGCUAAGGCUGUGGAGAGUGCCAGUCUGUGAUAUUCACGGAAGAAAGCAAGAAAAGUCUGAAGUGGCCUGGACUGCAUAGCAGAAAGAAAAAUCCCUGCAGGGACUGUGUGAAAAAGACUAGAGAGGACCACAGAAGGAGGUGGCAGCCGUCAUCAGCAAACUAACACAAGAAGAGAAAAUCAAAUACGGCAUGUUCUCACUUGUAAGUGGGACCUAAGUGAUGAGAACACAUGGACGCAAAUGGGAACAACAGCCAGUGAGGCCACUUGAGGGUGGAAGGUGGGAGGAGGGAGAGGAUUAGAAGAAACAACUAUUGAGUACUAUGCUUGGUACCUGGAUGAUGAAAUAAUCUGUACAACAAACCCCGUGACAAGAGUUUGCCUAUAUAACAAACUUGCACAUGUUCCCUUGAACCUAAAGUAAAAGUUGAAAAAAAUAAAUAAAAAUAAAAGAUUCUGAUGCCUCAGACUAACUUACACUCAGUAAACACAUUCUGAUGUAUUUGUGGGCCAAAGGUCCUAACGGAGUUGGUGAUGAUGAUGAUGAUGAUGAUCAUCAUCAUCGUAUUGAUAAUGGUAAUGGUAAUAAAAAACAGCUUUCAUAUGGAGUCAGGUUUACUGAGAGUACAUGAGAUACAAUGCUCUUUCAGACGGACAAAGCAAGAUUCGGAGGGUGGUGAGGGAGAGGUCUAGAGGAGCAAGCUACUUUUGCCCAAUGGUCAUGCAGCAGCUUAAAAACCAUACUACCAUUCACCAUUCUGAAUGGUAAUUGUCUGACCCUCGUGGACUAACAGGUCUUGGAGGGCCGGGAGCAUGUCUCAUUCAUUGCUAUAUCUCUAGUACCUGGUGUAUAAAAAGUCUCAGAAAACAAACAUUGAUUGACUGAAGGAAUAAAUAAACAUACGAAUAGCUGUUUAAUGUAGCCGAUUAAAAGGAAUUAGGUAAAAUGUUUUCCAUUACUUGUUUUCUGAUUUGUGAAGAGUCAUUAUUUCUUCUGACAGUAAAAAAAAAAAUUAAAAAGCAAGAGGUAGAUAUCUUUUUAAAGUUUUGUCCUUCCAUACUCAUACAUUGACCAAUACAAAUUAAACUACUGAAGGAGACAGAGCCAGUGUUUCCUGGCCAAAUACUCUGCAAUUAAUUAUUUCUAUCAUCUAGAAUAUGAUUUGAUUGGGUAUUAAUACAAGAGGGCAGAGCCUAUGGUAUAUUCUCCGUUACAUUCUGAACAGCUAAGAACUGUGCCUGCCACCCCACCCAGUAAGCACUCAAUAUUUUUUAAAUAAAUAAAGAAAUGACUGCUAAAUGUUCUUUCAUUUUUGUUUUAAGCCCAUCUAUAAGUAAGUUUAAAUCCAAAGCACUUUUUCCACCUACCCCUGGACCUUAACAUUGAGCCUAGUGUCACAGGCAAGAACCCAAUAGAAUUAAAAGGUUUUUGUUUGUACAACGCUAAUUGCCAGGAUUACUAAGCAAACAGGAGAAAUGGAACAAAAUGAUAAAAACAAUUUGUGGUGCUUUCCUGUGGGAUUUUUGGAGGUUUUUCAAAGCAUGACUAGUGACUAAUGUAAUUGACUUUUGGAGGAGAAGGGGAAGAAAAAUGGGCACCCAAUUAUGGACUUUGUCUCCUGUGAGGUUUGUGGUUCUGUCCAGUCUUUGCAAAACAUCACUUUUUUAGAGUGGCCUGUAGCUGGGUACAUAGGCCAAUGGCAUUCACUGGAAAUACAGGGAGCCUGGACUUUCUCAGAAAUGAGGGUUCAUUAUGUGACAGAAUUCAGGUGGCAGCAGAGUCAAGGGACAGGGAGCAGUGGCUGAACUCAGGUGAUCAUUGGUGGCACCUUGAUUGCCUGGAUUAGUAAUAGACACAAACAUUUGGGUAGCUGCUAGGUUUCUUACAACUAGAAGGACAUAGCUCACAAAACAGGCUAACAGCUCAUUCAGUUCGAGGUGAACAUUAUUGUUCCCAUGUAACAGCUGAGGAAACUGAGGCCUGGAAAUUGCAUUGAACUUGCUUGAGGUUACCCCACUAGGUUAAUCAGGUCCAGAUUUUGAAUUUUCACUGUUGUGUCAUGAGCUCUUUCAUUACAGAAAAAAACUAAAUAGCCUCAACUUGUCUGGCCACUAGCCCAGAGAUUGGGAAUGAUUCAUAGCUAUUCUCUAAUUACUGGUUUACUCUGAAGCUUGCCUGCAUCUCUGGGAAGCUCCUGGUAUAGAGAUACAUUCAAUAAUUACAAUAGGUUUUUUUUGUUGUUUUUUUUUGUUUGUUUUUUUUUCCUGGGUGUUGUACAGUGAAGCCUAGUGAGAAAAUGCAGGAUAGUUAAUCGCAGGGGCUUUAAAACCCCUGGAAUUUUAACAACUCAUAAAUAUUAAGCAUUUGCUAAGGGCAAGGUAGAACUCUGAAGGCUCUAUGUGAAGGAACUCCCCCAGUAGUUGCAAUAACUUUGUGAGAUAUGCAUUGUUAUCAUCUCCACUUAAUGGUGAUUGAGACUGAGGCUCAGAGAAAUUGACCUGCCCAAGGUUACUCAGCUAGAAAGUGGAAGAGCUGAGCAGCAACUUCAGGUAGUUUGACCAAUUCUUUUUGGCUGUGAAGGUGCCUGCUUAAUAACAAAAAACUAUACUAGUGGUUCUUAAAAUGGUGCUAGGACCAGCAGCAUUGGCAUCAAUGGGUAAAUUGGUAGAGAUGCAAAUUCUUGGCCUCACUCCAGACCUACUGAAUCAGAAACUCUAGCAGUAGAGGCCAGAAAUCUGAGUUUUAACAGCUUUUCAGUGGAUCUCGAUGCCCACUCAAGUUUGAGAACUGGACAUACUAAAUCACUGUGCUUUCUCAGAAGAAAGGACUUGUACAGAGCACUGACUGCACCAGAUGAGCUUAGAGACUUGGGAAGAUGUUCUUCCAAAAGAUGCUAUUACUUUGGGCUUUUGGACUAUACAUGAGAGAGUAGAGUGGAAGUAGAAUCUGUUAAGAAAGAGUAUGUGAUGAGAGAAGGUAGUAGAAAGAGGUGACGUCACAACCACCUUCUGAGAAUGUGAUGUGUUUGUAGAACAGGUGUUGAUUAUCCACUAAGACUCACUGAGAUCAAGUGACUUGGCCAAGGUCAGGUAAUCAGUGACAAAUGAAUGCACUCAAACGCAGUCCCCUGACUCCUUAGAGAGUAUGUGAAAGCUACAUUUCCUCACUAGAGUAGGGUGAGGCAUUAGCGGUUCAGUGAACCUCUGAAUCAUGAGAACCUCUCCUCAUGAUUCAGUAACUGUCACAACUUCUCCCGACUAGAUGAGCUAGAAUUGAAAGAAGAAUGGAAAAGAUAGGAAUUCGGUGGUCCCAGGAAGGAGGGAAGACUAAGGGGAGAAUUCAGAGAGAGGUGCUAAGGAGACAAGGAUGUCUUUAAGUUACCGCUCUGGAACCCAUGGCUGUCUCCUUACCUUGAUCAGCACUGUCAUCAUUUAUUGGGUUGCACAUGCUCUAGCAUGUUAUCAACCAGAAAAUACAACACAGGUGACCUUGACUUUAAUUCACAACUUUGCUAGUGAUCUCAAGCAGAUUACUUCCUCAUGUACAAAAUGAAGAUCAUUAGAGUUCCAACCUCAUGGGAAUUGAGGGAGUUUUAAAAGAAAGAACGUAAGUAAAACCCCUAGUAGGUUGUCUUGCUCUUAAUAAGUGCUGAAUACACAGGCACUGUGUUGUUGUUAUUGUCUUAUCCAAAGGCUGGUGCACAGGGCAAGGCAGCCAUGGACAUAAAAGGAUGCCUCAGUGAGUGAGGAUGAUGAUGUAGCUGUUUGUGGACACAUAAAUCUCCCACUACUUGUCCAUUGCCAUUUUAAUCUCUACUCCCUUAUCCAUCACCUCUGCCUUCUCAGAUCCUCACUCAGAGAGAGUGGUCUUAAGAAAGGACCCCUUCAAUCUCUUGUUCCUAGAGAGGUCAUGGGUGCAUCUCAUUUAUUUCACUGUAUCACCCAACUCUGCAUGCAGCAUCCAGGGCAUCAGGGCACCUGGACACCAGCUGCCAGGAGAUGACAGGUAGACAGAGAGGAAUGCUUUCAAAAAAUGUCAUCUGGACAUUCCUUCCAAUUGAUUGCUUAGCAGAUUCAUGGCAAAACAAAGUUUUCUGGACCCUGUUACCUCCUUUGUUUACUUAAAUGACACUAAUAUUUAUUGAUCAAUUGCAAUAGAACAAGUGUUAUAUGAUACUUUAAAAAUGUUAUUUCAUUCAAAUGUUGUGAUGAUAUUUGUAAAGUGAGGAUAAUUAUUUCCACUUUAUAAAUGAGGUAAAUAGUAAUGGAUAUUGGAAUCAGGAUUUAAAUCACAUUUCUGGCUCCAAUUAAGUCUUUUAUCAGUUAAUGUCUUAAAUGGCUGCUUCCUCCUAAAAAAUGAAUAUCUUGAUAAGGAGGCCCCUUGGCAAGGUACGUGGAGGAAAGUUUUGUAGGGAAGGAGCCUGAUUCCCCUGAAUUAAAGACAUCUUUCUGCUCACACUGGUAUAUAAUUUGGAUCCUCUCCAUUCUCUGGACAUAUCUUUGUGAUUAUGCCUUUUUACUUAGCCUUGUAAAUGGACAAUAACUCUACUCAGAGUCAAAUUAAGGGGUGAGCUAGAUAGGAAGUUGCCAGGGGAUUGAUUCUAUAAUAGGCUCUAAUACAUCACUGGAAAUUUAAUGAUAUGGAACAGUUUAUUUAUUAAUAUUCCAUGCACAGAGAAUUCUGCUUGGAAGAAAUGUUUGAUAAGACACUGAAGGUGGAAAGAGGUACCGGACAGUUAUUUUCUAGGGAUGGUGGAUCAGGCCAGGGCCAGGAUGGUAUGCAAAUCUGGGCCAGAGCAGAAUCGUUUGAGAGGACAAAGGGGAGGCUGAGGUUGCUACCAACAAGCUACUUUCUCUGAUUUCCCCACACAUCAUAGAUGGCCAAACAGUUAAAAACAUAUUUUCUUGAAGGCGCACUGAAUCAUUCCCCUGUCCAGGGUGCUCCCACCCCUGAGUGAAGUCCUGAUGCUGCUCAGAAUGCUGCAUAGGCCCUCAUGCUCUCAUAUUCAUUUCUCUUUUUCCUUCUCUUUCUCCUUCUCUGGGUGUUGCUGUGCAGUGUUCCAUUCUGAUAUCCAGCUCUAGGUCAUUUUCCAUCACAGAACAACACCUGCAGCUUGGACAAGAACAACAGAAUGUGUGAUGGGCAAUGGUGAGACCUGAGAGACAGAGACAGAGAAGGCUGGGUUCCAGGACAUUUCUAGCAUUAAGAAGAGGAGGUUGGAAUUUAGAAUCUCUUGCUCUGCCUCUUCCUACAUGCCUUGACCAAGAUUCUUGAGCUCAUCCAUGAAACAAUAUGAAAAGCAAACAUUGUUUGAACACUUAACUAUUAUGGGCACUAUUCUCAGUGCUUUAUGUGUUUAUGAAAAUAAUUCUCCUAAUAACCCCAAAAUAUAUUUACUUUUAUAAUCCCCAUUUUAAACAUGAGAAAAUGGAGGCACAGAGAGGUUGAGUAACUUGUUCAAGUUGACACAUCCAGCAAACAGGAUUCAAAUGCAAGUAUUUUGGUGCCAGAAGUUUCAUUCUCAACUACUUUGUGAUACUGCCUCUCUGAAGGGGACAAAAAGCAUUGGUGAAAGUGAAAUAAGUCAGGUAUCUAAAAUCUUUUUAGACAUUGAAAUUGUUUGAGUGUGAGUACUAUUAUUAGCCCUCCCCACCUCCUAUAUCUCUGCUAUUGGCAGAAAUAAAAAUAUGCAUCUAGAGAUGCCUAGAAGGGAACAGAACUCACCCAGGUGGCGCAUGCAGAUGGAGAAGGGGCUGCCCCUUUUGCCAAAGAGUGAAGAGAGAUUCGAGUGCUGUUCACCAUUGUGCUCUUGGUAUUCAGCCCAUGCCCAACAUGCAGUAGGGCAUCAGGUAAUAGUCACUAAAUAAGUCUGAGUUUGGAUCCUUGCUCUUUCUUGGUGAGUUAAUGAAGUUUUCUAAGCUCCAUGUUCCUUUCAUUUCAGAAAUACGAGGUUGGGUAACGACUUCAGUGGUCCUGAGACCUAAAUCUAGAUAAAUGUAGAUUUUGAAUAACUGAUGAUAAUUGCUGAUAUUGUUAUUCUAGACCAGUGGCCAACAAUCUUUUCCUGUAAAUGACCAGGUAAAAAAUAUUUUAGACUUUGUGGAGUAGACUGUCCCUGUCACAGAAACUCAAUGCUGCCAUUGUAGUGUGAACAGCCAUAGACAAUUCAUAAACAAGUAGGCAUGGCUGUGCUCCAAUAAAACUUUAUUUACAAAAAGAGGUGGUAGACGGGAUGUGGCCCUUGUUUUGUAGUUUGCUGACCUCUGUAUUCUAUGGUCUAAGCAGUGAGAAUCUGAAAGGUGCUAAGCCACAUUAACAGACUGAAAAUGUUCUUAAACUUUCUAGGCAAAGCUCAUCUCUUCAUUCCUUUCCAGUAUUAAGGAUGAGCAAUACUUUCUGGCAGAGGAAUCUGUGUUCUCCAAGUUUAUGUUUGUUUGUAAUAUUUCUUUAACAGGUGUGAGUGGUGAGAACUCUUCCUCCCACAUAUUUUCCUUCUAACUUCUUGUUUCCUGGUAACUGUGCACCUUCUCCACUUACCUCUAGAGCUAGCCAGUGGUGAGAACACAAAGAAUUUGGGAGGCUGGACCUUUGCUUGACUCCCAAAUAGAACCUUAGUAAUAUGAUAUAUUUAUCUAGAAUAAGUGGUGUCCUGAAAAAUAUAUUAAAAAGAUGGUGAUUUUAAAAAAAUGUGGUAGUGCCUUGGAAAAAGAACAACGUGAAAUAUUAUAUUUUAUAUGUUAAAGAGAAUGAGCCAAAUGUGCUUUGGGGUGUACAGAGAGAGAGAACAUCAGUAGUUUUUCAGUGUUUACUAUUUCUCAAUUAUCUAAGAGGGGCCUGAGACACCACAAGUUGAUGGUUCAUCCAGAACCACAUGGGAUGGGUAACUGUGGCUCACCAUGGGAACAUCAGGGGUCUCUUAAAACAAGAAGGGGGAAGAAUGAGACUUAAACACUGCAUUUGGUUCUGGUAAAUAUGAGGUGGCUAUCCAACCUUACUCUUUUGAGAAUCUGUUUGCUCUCCUAUGCUGAUGAAAAUAAUGUGAAAAGCACUUUGCUCAUUGCCUGGCACAAACUAGAUCUAGAAUAAGUGGAAACUGUAACUGAUCACAUACUUACUGGACUCCGAUGCAUGCCACCUUUCGAUGUCGUUGGCGACCCACAUCCUGUCCAUCCUUCUGUUUGUUCUUCCAUUCUUCAAGGUUCAGCAAUGUUUCUCCUCAUGGCUGCAUUAUGGCUGCAUCACCCCCAUGCAUUCUGUAUUCUCAGAACAUCAUCUCCUACAAGAAGAAAGGGGAAGAGGUGGCAAAAAGGGCCUCUUCUCCUAUGCUUGUCUUUCUACUUGGGCGGAGAGUAUUUCCAAGAAGACCCCUUUCAGACUUUCCCUUACAUGCCAUUGACCAGAAGUGUGUCACAUAUCCAGCUGUAAACAAAUGGCUGGCAAAGUGAGUGGGUAACUACGGUUGGCUGAGAAGACUCAGGAUUCAUCCAUGGGACUGAAACAAGGAAGGAGGGCGAGUAGCCAGUGUAGCACAGGGCCUGAUGCAAAGGGUACUUCCUUUCUCAAUCCCUCCCUUUUCCUUGAGAAACACGUAUGUUGUUUUCAGCAGUUCCUAACAGAGUGCCUGGGCGAAAAUGGCACUCAAUAUAUAUUUUUGGUGGAUAAAUAAUGACUAAAUAAGUAAUGAAUAGAAUUUUCUUCUUUUUUUCUUUUUUUUUUUUUUUUCACCUAGACCUCUGGUUUCCUCUUUUCUGAGUCUGGGUUAGGCAGCCAUGGUAUUCUUCCAGUCUGAAGAUGACUUUCUAAAUUUGCUAACAUGGGAAGAAUUGAAUACGGCCUGUCACACUGUCCACAUUCAUCCUUUGAUAUGAGUUGGCCAGUGUGGUCAAAGACAGGCCAGCGUGGGUGAGGCUGAUGGCAUACUCAAGGGCUGCAUGCACAGACGUGACCAAGCCCUUUGUAAGCAAGAUUGGAAGUCGAGAUAAACCUGUUCCCUUUAAUCAUCUCUUUGGGCAGUUUCCUAUCACUUUUCAAGCUCCCCCAUUAGAAUGUCAGCAAAAUAACAGGGAUCUGCAGAAAAAAAAUCUUAAGAGAAAUGAUUUGAAAUGCACUAAGCACUUUGGAAGCAUUAGUUGUCAAACCUUUAACGAGAUAAUUAUAAAUGCCCUUUACUUAGUGCAUAGCUCAAAUGAUCUACAACACAUUUUUAGGUAUCACUUUGUUGAUCUAGUUUGAAUGAAGCACUGGAAAACAUUUCUUUACAUAAGUGGUUAUUCUGGAUUAUUUGUGGCUUCAGUCCUGUUUACCCCCAUUGCUAGGCCAAAAUGAGAAUUUUUGUGCUCAUAUCUGGAAUGCUCAGGGGAAUAAGAUAGAAUGGCAGAGUGGUUGUCUAAUCUGACUUGAAUCUGUUCGCUAUCACUUAUUAGUGUGACACAUUGGGCAAAUGGCUUAAUGUCUCCAACCUCAGUGUCCUCAUCUGCAAAACUGGGCAAUACUCGAGGGUGGUUCUGGCAUGGUGCAUGGCACAUUGUAAGGGUGAAAUAAAUGCUAUCUUUAAUUGCUUUUGACAUGUUAUAUUCUUCAGUUUAUCACUGAAACACAUACUUUUUACAAAGACAACUGUAGCUGUCACCUUUGAAAUAUAGAUUAUGCCAUGUGGCUAUCCCAAUGUCAGCCCAUCCAACAACAGUUCACCAAUGUUGUAAGGAGGUUUCUAAAGUCUUGGAAUGGGCCUUGGGCACUUGGAUUAUAUUGAGCAACUGAUGAGGCCUCAUGCCACUGAAAACUUUGACCCGACAAUUAAGGUGGUUUAAAAACACUCAAGAAAUAGGUCUUUCUUUGCUAUGCAAAAAUUAGUUUCUUGUUUAAACGGACUGAUUAUGUUACUCAAAAUUGUCACUUCAGGUUUUUUGAAUUGAUUGUGUCCUGCAGUUGGUGUGAAACAUGAAAUCAUAUAACGCUGCAGCGUGAAGUGCCUAUGAAGCCAGGAGCUGGGCAGUGUUGGUUCACCAUACCUGUUCACUAACAUCGUGGCACUUCACACAGGUCAUCUCACUGUGCUGGGGCUUAGCUUUCUGAUCUCUGAAGGGAGCAAACAGCCAUUCAUGUUGUUCAGCUGGUUAUUCCAGAGUAAAAGAUAAAAAUAUUUCAUCAUAGCAAUUAUUGUAGUUGCUGUGGUAUUUGAGGAGUUUUUUCAGAAAUCAGAAAUUUCUUGGGCAAAGGGUAUGAGAAUUGUUGUUUCUCUAUGAUCAAUUCUUUCCAACUCUCUGAAGAUGCGUUAAAAAAACAAAAAAACAAAAAAAAAAACACUGUGAUUAUCUGAAAGUCUGAAUGAACUAAUGUGGAAGUUUGGGCCCUCUGAGAAGCACACAGAGAGGGUAGGAUUAACUGUGCAGGAAAUUUAUUGGAGGAAACACCUGUGAAGAAAAAGAGAGGAAGUAGGAAAAGGCAGGGAGAGGCUUCAGACCUGCUGCGGGUCUCACAUCUGUGAAAGGAGAGGAGGAGGAAAAAAAAUUUAGUGGCAGAGUCUCAGAUUGUAGUACAGCUCUAAAUUCUAGUAUUUGGCAUGAUCAGAGGGAGUUCUUGAGCCUAUCUGAAUACUUUCAUGCCUUAAAACAGAGAUCCCCAGUCCCUGGGGCAUGGACCUCUACUGAUCUGUGUCCUGUUAGGAACUGGUCCGCAGAGCAGGAAGUGAGUGGUGGCCCAGCCAUUGAAGCUUCAUCUGUAUUUACAGCUGCUCCCCAUUGCUUGCAUUACUUCCUGAGCUCCACCCUCUGUCCUAUUAGCAGUGGCAUUAGAUUCUCAUAAGUGUUCUCUAUUGUGAACUGCUCAUGUGAGGGCUCUAGGUUGCUUGUUCCUUAUGAGAAUCUAAUGCCUUAUGAUCUGUCCCUGUUUCCCAUCACUUCCAGAUGGGAUCAUCUAGUUCUAGGAAAACAUGCCCAGGGCUCCCACCAAUUCUACAUUAUGGUGAGUUGUAUAGUUAUUUCAUUAUACAUUACAAUGUAGUAAUAAUAUUAAUAGAAAUAAAGCACACAAUAAAUGUAAUGCAAUUGAAUCAUCUCAAAACCAUCUCCCCGAAUCCCAUGUGUCUAUGGAAAAUUUGUCUUCUAUGAAACUGGUCCCUGAUGCCAAAAAGGCUAGGGACUGUUACCUUAAGUAACGGGUCCAGACCAGUCUCCUUGUGGUGUUUAGUCACUGGCUGGGUGGUGCCUAGGGGAGGUGUGGCAUGACAUGAACACAGCAGAUAUCAGUAGCUGGGGCAUUCAGUCAGCUUCUCAUGGCAGGAGACCUGAGCAGUAUAUUGUCAUGGCCAGCCCCUAAAUUUCCUGAAGUUUUCUGUUUGGAACACAGACUUUAAUGAGUUUGAAAAAACCUAGAACAUCUGUGAUAAUAAAGAGUUAUUCACCCAAAAUCAAUGUUUCAUUCCUUCCUUUGAUUUUCACUUCCUCCUCUGUUUCAGCUAGGCCAACCAUGUUAAAAACCCCACCCAAGUUUGUAGAGUUCCUCAUUUCACAUUUUUAAAAAAGAAAAUCUGUAUGUGAAUAAGCCACUUGUACUUCCUUUGUUUUACAUGCUCAGGGAGUUAUGAUUUAUUUUCUUGAGUUUCACAGGUUUUCUCCCUCAGCUCUCUGGUGGCAAGGUCUUUGUUUUGGGAUGAUGCCAUGUAAUAGAAAAAUCAUACAUUUUGUUCCAUUGGGCAGACACAAACAGCUGUAUGACCUUGGGCAAAUUAUACACCUCUCUGAGCCUAGGUUAACCCUUUUGUCUAAUGAAGCUAAUAAUAGUAUCUACCUCACUGAGAUGUUAUAAAUAUUAGGAGAGAUAAUAAAUGCAAAGUUCUCAACAGAGUUCUGGCACACUGUAGGUGUUUAAUAAAUGCUGGAUGAAUGGAUAAACCUGAAGACUGGAGGCACACAGGCCUUUGUUCCUUUUCCUGCCUUCUUGCAGUGUUCCUACCCCUCUGCAGUCAGAGGAUUUAGAUGAAAACAGGUGGAUGGAUAACAGACUAGAACCAUAGCAACAAGCAAGCCAUUCUUGAGCAUUGAUUGCAUACAGUCACUGGGUUAAACCCUGCAGGACAAGAGGAGGGGACUGAGGCAGUGUCUGUCCUUGGAGAGGUUGCAUUUCCCCAUGACAUUAGGCAUUCAAAGAUAUAAUGACUGGGGACAUAGGAUGGGGAAUAGCGUGAUGGAAAGUGUGGUUGAAGGCUAAGGGUGGCAGCUUGGGAGAUGGUAGAAAGUCUAAUGUGAGGAGACAGAAAAGAUGUAGCUGGAGAGUUGUCUUGGGAUCAAACCGCUGAGGGUUCUGAAAGCCAAGCUGAGGAAACUGGACUUAAUUCUGUAGAUAGGAGGAAGUCAGUACAGGCUCUAGAAAAGAGACUUGAAAUUCACUGAGAAAUGGCAUGUCUGAACAACCUCAAGGCAGGAGGUUGUCCUGGGUGGGUUGGGUCAAACACCGUUGUCAAUAAAUGAGGGUUAUAAUGUCGUUAUUUUUCUUUUCAAUAUAGGGGCAAUCUCUAAUAAUGGACCAUUGAGGGCUAGCAUGUUGCUCUUCCCUGUGAGGAAAAACACUAGGAGUGGAAGUUUUAAUCUUUGUUAUAAAUGAGCUUGCUUUAGUAGAGGGGAGAAGAAUCACACUGGCCUGCUAAGUCAUAUUUGUUCAAUCAGUGGCAUUUGUUCUGAGCUCCUACCAUGAGUCAGGUCCUGUGCCAAUGGCUGGGGUGUAAAAGCAGGCACAUUGCCUGCUCUCAAUGGGCUUUGUGUUCUAUUGGGAUAGCAGAACAAGUAAGUGACUGCAGUAGUACAUGACUAAGGGCCAAAAGGAAUAGGACAGACAGGGAGUGAUUUCAGAAUUUGCUAGGAGAAAGAGAAUAAUCGAAGUUAAAAUAGUGGAGCAAGACUUGUCAGAGGGAACGAGACCUCAACUCGGUUUAGAUUUAUUUAUUUUUAAUAAAUAAUAAUUGUAAAUAUUUGGGGAUAUGUGUGAUAUUUUGAUACCCACAUACAAUGUUUAGUAAUCAAAUCAUGGAAAUUAGGAUAUCCAUCGCCUCAAAAGCUGAUCUUUUCUUUGUAUUGGGAAUGUUAUAAUUCUUCUCUUUUAGUUACAUUUUGAAAUAGAUAAUAAAUUAGUGAUAAUUAUAAGCUCCCUUCUGUACUAUCAAAUACUAGAACUAAUUUCUUCCAUCUAACAGUAUUUUAUUUUUUUAACCUUUAACCAAUUUCUCUUUGGGGGGAGUUGAAGCUUGGACGUAUAGUAUAUAAAGAAUAAGAGUAUACCCUUUGGAGUCUGACUGGGUGGUAUAGACGGUGAAUCCACUUCCUAGCUGUGCUCACUAGAGCAUGUUAUCCUCUGUGCCCCAGCCUCCUCACCUGUAAAAUGGAAACGCUGGUGGAAACACACAUGUAGGGUUGUCAAGUAGACAGAGCAUGGGUCAGAAAUUCUUUUCUGUAAAGGGCCAGGUAACAAAUAUGUUAGGCUUUGCAGGCCAUUUAGUCUCUUUGUCGACUUCCCAAUUCUGUCACCACAGUGGAAGGCAGCUGUAGACCACUGGUUAACAAACAAGUGACUAUAUUCCAAGAAACGUUAUUUACAGACACCAAAAUCUGAUUUAUAUCCUUUUCAUGUGUCACAAUCUAUUAUUAUUGUUUUGAUUUUUUUUCAAUCAUUUAGAAAUGUAAAA